UGCAAGUCGAACGAUGAAGCCUUUCGGGGUGGAUUAGUGGCGAACGGGUGAGUAACACGUGGGCAAUCUGCCCUUCACUCUGGGACAAGCCCUGGAAACGGGGUCUAAUACCGGAUAACACUCUGUCCUGCAUGGGACGGGGUUAAAAGCUCCGGCGGUGAAGGAUGAGCCCGCGGCCUAUCAGCUUGUUGGUGGGGUAAUGGCCUACCAAGGCGACGACGGGUAGCCGGCCUGAGAGGGCGACCGGCCACACUGGGACUGAGACACGGCCCAGACUCCUACGGGAGGCAGCAGUGGGGAAUAUUGCACAAUGGGCGAAAGCCUGAUGCAGCGACGCCGCGUGAGGGAUGACGGCCUUCGGGUUGUAAACCUCUUUCAGCAGGGAAGAAGCGAAAGUGACGGUACCUGCAGAAGAAGCGCCGGCUAACUACGUGCCAGCAGCCGCGGUAAUACGUAGGGCGCAAGCGUUGUCCGGAAUUAUUGGGCGUAAAGAGCUCGUAGGCGGCUUGUCACGUCGGAUGUGAAAGCCCGGGGCUUAACCCCGGGUCUGCAUUCGAUACGGGCUAGCUAGAGUGUGGUAGGGGAGAUCGGAAUUCCUGGUGUAGCGGUG
rnacentral:rRNA from 1 species